UAUGGUGGAAAGUGGGUCCAAGACUACCCCUGGGUUAGACCCCUGCCUUGCCCCAUCCGCUCCUCCCAAGCCCUGGUUGCGGCGCUUCCUGGGCGGAUGGUUUGGACUUGCUGCUGCAGCUGCGGUUCUGCUGUGUCAUGCAAGAAGGAGGCGGCGGCGGCGGCCGGAGCUGGAGGGGGAGGAGGGGAGGAACCUGAUCCUCGGUAGCGAAGGGCUGGAGGCAAACACCGAGCUCCCCCUGAGCCGCCUGGGAGCAGGGAGGGUUCUGCUACCCUGAGGGGCCCUCCCCGCGGGGCAGAGGGGUUUCCUCAGCAGUGCCCCGGAGCAGGGACCGCGCCAGCCAGCAGAAACAGCUAGUUGUUGUCUGCAGUGAAGAAUAAUUGGAAGCAUGGUGCCUGUUUCUUUUCCUCUCAUCCUCGUCUACGGCCAAACGUUGGUUUCUCAUUUCUAGAAGAUGAAAGAUGUGAUGACUCAGGAAAAACUUGCUGCUCGAGAUGUGAGUCUUCAGAUGUUCCUGCCGCCAUAUCUGACAGCUGCUGCCAAGAUUCCCUGGUGGGAUGGACUCUUAUACCUCAACAACCAGAAGCCCAAGUAAACUCUUCUAUAAAUUGAA
rnacentral:lncRNA from 1 species